rnacentral:rRNA from 1 species
AGUGAACGCUGGCGGUAGGCCUAACACAUGCAAGUCGAACGGCAGCACAGUAAGAGCUUGCUCUUACGGGUGGCGAGUGGCGGACGGGUGAGGAAUACAUCGGAAUCUACUUUUUCGUGGGGGAUAACGUAGGGAAACUUACGCUAAUACCGCAUACGACCUACGGGUGAAAGCAGGGGAUCUUCGGACCUUGCGCGAUUGAAUGAGCCGAUGUCGGAUUAGCUAGUUGGCGGGGUAAAGGCCCACCAAGGCGACGAUCCGUAGCUCGUCUGAGAGGAUGAUCAGCCACACUGGAACUGAGACACGGUCCAGACUCCUACGGGAGGCAGCAGUGGGGAAUAUUGGACAAUGGGCGCAAGCCUGAUCCAGCCAUACCGCGUGGGUGAAGAAGGCGUUCGGGUUGUAAAGCCCUUUUGUUGGGAAAGAAAAGCAGCAGGUUAAUACCCCGCUGUUCUGACGGUACCCAAAGAAUAAGCACCGGCUAACUUCGUG